rnacentral:rRNA from 1 species
GAAUAUUUAUAUAACAUUAACAUAAUUCAUAUUACUAUAUUUUUUAGUAUAUGAAAUUUUACUUUGAGAAAAUUAGAGUGCUUAAAGCAGGCAUAUGCCUUGAAUACUCCAGCAUGGAAUAAUAUUAAAGAUUUUUAUCUUUCUUAUUGGUUCUAAGAUAAGAAUAAUGAUUAAUAGGGACAGUUGGGGGCAUUUGUAUUUAACAGUCAGAGGUGAAAUUCUUAGAUUUGUUAAAGACAAACUAAUGCGAAAGCAUUUGCCAAGGAUGUUUUCAUUAAUCAAGAACGAAAGUUAGGGGAUCGAAGACGAUCAGAUACCGUCGUAG